UACGUAGGUGACAAGCGUUGUCCGGAUUUACUGGGCGUAAAGAGCGCGCAGGCGGUCGUUCAAGUCGAGUGUGAAAGCCCCCGGCUCAACUGGGGAGGGUCACUCGAUACUGAUCGACUCGAAGGCAGGAGAGGGUAGUGGAAUUCCCGGUGUAGUGGUGAAAUGCGUAGAUAUCGGGAGGAACACCAGUGGCGAAGGCGGCUAUCUGGACGGUUUCUGACGCUAAGACGCGAAAGCGUGGGGAGCAAACAGG
rnacentral:rRNA from 1 species